rnacentral:rRNA from 1 species
AACGCGAAGAACCUUACCUGGUCUUGACAUCCACAGAAUUUAGCAGAGAUGCUUUAGUGCCUUCGGGAACCAGGACACAGGUGCUGCAUGGCUGUCGUCAGCUCGUGUCGUGAGAUGUUGGGUUAAGUCCCGCAACGAGCGCAACCCUUGUCCUUAGUUGCCAGCAUUAAGUUGGGAACUCUAAGGAGACCGCCGGUGACAAACCGGAGGAAGGUGGGGAUGACGUCAAGUCAUCAUGGCCUUUAUGGCCAGGGCUACACACGUGCUACAAUGGUAGAAACAGAGGGAAGCCAACGCGCGAGCGGGAGCUAAUCCCAGAAAAUCUAUCGUAGUCCGGAUCGGAGUCUGCAACUCGACUCCGUGAAGUCGGAAUCGCUAGUAAUCGCAGAUCAGCAUUGCUGCGGUGAAUACGUUCCCGGGCCUUGUACACACCGCUAGUC